GGGGAGCUCUUCUUGUCGCUCUAUCUUCAUAAGAAUUUGAGAUCAGGGGGUGGGGGGGUUCAGUGGAGUAAAAUAAUAAAACCUCCACGGAGGAGUCCUAGAUCGGCAUGGUGCUGUAGGGGACCUAGGCCAUUGUUUCAAGGUAGAGUUCGAGAACGAUGAGGCUUUGGCUCCACACGUCGAUGCUACACUCGUCGAUGGUCCUCCUUCUCUUG
rnacentral:lncRNA from 1 species